ACAAAACCAAAUCAGAAAUCGAAAUCAGGGAUUUUUACCGUAUCGGAGAUGGAGUCGGCAGCGGCUGCUAUGGGUCGGUAGUUUAUAGGCUGAAGCCUGAUGGGUACAAGUUAAUGAAUCCCUCGUACCUUGAGCGGUUGUCUAAGACCAUGUUCUUUCCUCUGGAGAUUCAUAUAUUCCGGGGAGGUGAAAGCGAAUUCAUCUGCUUUUCUCCGCUUGAGCUCGAUUUUUGUGACGGAAUUGUGGUCGAACUUGACGAUGCUACUGGCAAAUUGGCCGAGAAAUUUGUUCAAAGGCGGAGAGUUUAUUCUCAUGCGUGGAUAAAGUACUGGAUUCCUCAUUUCGGGAUUAAAGAGAGGAUUGAUUAUAUCCUUUCAGCUCUGAGUACUGAGUCUGCUGCUGGGCGAGUUUGAGGCUAAAUUUCUGUCUUCUGUGGAGAGUUAACAGUCUCGUGAUUGGGAAAAAUAGCUGCCUGAGGUAGUUGGAUCGCGGAAGGAUUGC